rnacentral:rRNA from 1 species
CUAGUGAUCUAGCCAUGGCCAGGUUGAAGGCAGGGUAACACCUGCUGGAGGACCGAACCCACGCCUGUUGAAAAAGUCGGGGAUGAGCUGUGGUUAGGGGUGAAAGGCCAAUCAAACUAGGAAAUAGCUGGUUCUCCGCGACAUCUAUUUAGGUAGAGCCUCGAAUGUUUACAUACGGGGGUAGAGCACUGGAUGAGCUAGGGGGGCGCGAGCCUUACCAAACUUAACCAAACUCCGAAUACCGUAGAGUAUAGUUCGGGAGGCAGUCCUUGGGUGCUAAGGUCCGAGGACGAGAGGGAAAGAGCCCAGACCAUCCGCUAAGGUCCCCAAGUGGUGACUAAGUUGGAAAGGAUGUGGGAAGGCCAAGACAGCCAGGAGGUUGGCUUAGAAGCAGCCAUCCUUUAAAGAAAGCGUAAUAGCUCACUGGUCUAGUUAAGCCGGCCUGCGCCGAAAAUGUAACGGGGAUUAAGUCAUCCACCGAAGCGAUGGGUGCAUAGCAAUAUGCGCGGUAGCGGAGCGUUCCGUAAGCCUGCGAAGCAUGACUCGGAAGAGCAUGUGGAGGUAUCGGAAGUGAGAAUGCUGACAUGAGUAACGAUAAACAAUGUGAGAAACAUUGUCGCCGUAAGUCCAAGGGUUCCUGCGCAAGGUUAAUCCACGCAGGGUGAGCCGACUCCUAAGGCGAGGCCGAAAGGCGUAGUCGAUGGCAAUGCGGUUAAUAUUCCGCAGCCUGCUGGUAGUGACGGAGUUUUGAGAGUGUCCGAGAUUAUUGGAUUUCGAGGGCGCUUGAUAAGCUUCCAGGAAAUAGCUCCAGCGUACAGGUCGUACCCUAAACCGACACAGGUGGACGAGUUGAGUAUACUCAGGCGCUUGAGAGAAGGGUGUUGAAGGAACUCGGCAAAUUGCCCUCGUAACUUCGGGAUAAGAGGGCCUGUUUUAUGCGCAAGCACUAAACAGGGGCACAGAAAUGGGGGUAGCGACUGUUUACCAAAAACACAGGCCUCUGCGAAGUCUCUCAAGACGACGUAUAGGGGCUGACGCCUGCCCGGUGCUGGAAGGUUAAGGAGAGGGGUGCAAGCUCUGAACCGAAGCCCCAGUAAACGGCGGCCGUAACUAUAACGGUCCUAAGGUAGCGAAACUCCUUGUCGGGUAAGUUCCGACCUGCAUGAAUGGCGUAACGAUCUCCCCACUGUCUCCAACACCUCCUCAGUGAAAUUGAAUUCCCCGUGAAGAUGCGGGGUUCCCGCGGUUAGACGGAAAGACCCUAUGAACCUUUACUACAACUUUGCAGUGGUAUUAGAGAUCGCAUGUGUAGCAUAGGUGGGACUCUUUGAAGCUUGGGCGCCAGCCCGGGUGGAGAGGUCAGUGAAAUACCACCCUUGUAAUCUUUGAUAUCUAACUGAGACCGGUGAAUCACGGUCCAGGACCCUGCAUGGCGGGUAGUUUGACUGGGGCGGUCGCCUCCCAAAGUGUAACGGAGGCGCGCGAUGGUUAGCUCAAGCUGGUCGGAAAUCAGCUGUUGAGUGCAAUGGCACAAGCUAGCCUGACUGCAAGACGUACAUGUCAAGCAGAGACGAAAGUCGGUCAUAGUGAUCCGGUGGUUCUUCGUGGAAGGGCCAUCGCUCAACGGAUAAAAGGUACUCUAGGGAUAACAGGCUGAUGACGCCCAAGCGUCCAUAGCGACGGCGUCGUUUGGCACCUCGAUGUCGGCUCAUCACAUCCUGGGGCUGGAGAAGGUCCCAAGGGUUCGGCUGUUCGCCGAUUAAAGUGGUACGUGAGCUGGGUUCAAAACGUCGUGAGACAGUUUGGUCCCUAUCUGCCGUGGGUGUAGGAAUAUUGAAAGGA